GAUGAACGCUGGCGGCGUGCCUAAUACAUGCAAGUCGAGCGAACAGACGAGGAGCUUGCUCCUCUGACGUUAGCGGCGGACGGGUGAGUAACACGUGGAUAACCUACCUAUAAGACUGGGAUAACUUCGGGAAACCGGAGCUAAUACCGGAUAAUAUAUUGAACCGCAUGGUUCAAUAGUGAAAGACGGUUUUGCUGUCACUUAUAGAUGGAUCCGCGCCGCAUUAGCUAGUUGGUAAGGUAACGGCUUACCAAGGCGACGAUGCGUAGCCGACCUGAGAGGGUGAUCGGCCACACUGGAACUGAGACACGGUCCAGACUCCUACGGGAGGCAGCAGUAGGGAAUCUUCCGCAAUGGGCGAAAGCCUGACGGAGCAACGCCGCGUGAGUGAUGAAGGUCUUCGGAUCGUAAAACUCUGUUAUUAGGGAAGAACAAAUGUGAAAGUAACUAUGCACGUCUUGACGGUACCUAAUCAGAAAGCCACGGCUAACUACGUG
rnacentral:rRNA from 1 species